GCAGUUCUAGAUCGGGUACGGAGCGUGUUUAUUGUCUCAGUUUCUGGAGAUCAGUUGGGAAAUAUGGGAAUAAAACUCUGCCUGGCUCUGGUUGUUCUCUUGGUUACAGACAUGAGUAAUGGAGACUCGGUUUCCCAGUCAGAACAAGACGUUGAAGCAGUAAAGGGUGAAGAUUCAACAAUACCUUGCACUUACACAGUAUCUGAUGCAGCAACAAGUUAUAACCUGUUCUGGUAUCGCCAGUAUCCGCAGCAAGCUCCUCAAUACUUGCUCAGAGCCGAUAGUUAUGGAUAUAAUGAUACAGCUCCUGGCUUUGGGCACUUAAGUGGGAAUCUCAACAAGGAAAAAGGCACUUUCCACUUGAGCAUGAAGGAUUUGAAGCUGGCAGACAGCGCAGUGUAUUUUUGUGCACUGAGGCCCACAGUGAAUGAUGGUGCCAAGCACCCUAUACAAAAACUGCCUCAGAUUGACAAUUGGGGCACCAGGGAAUAA